GGGGAUGUAGCUCAGCUGGGAGAGCGCCUGCUUUGCAAGCAGGAGGUCGCGGGUUCAAGUCCCGCCAUCUCCA
rnacentral:tRNA from 2 species